GCGAGUUGGCAUGUGGCUUUCGAGCCUCAUUGAGAGGCUUGAGGAAACUCCGCCCACGUGCAGAAUUGCAGCGUCCGCAAGGGCGUAAGGCGAGAGCCUUGGCAACGGAGCAGAAACGAAACGUCCAUCCUGCAAGGGCCGAUGAUGCAUGCGAAGGUGCUGAGAAUGCUGGGUGGAAACGGUGAAACGGCCGUCCUGCAAGUGGAAAGGGCAAACAGACGCCGGUGAGGAAUCUGCCUGAGGCGCGGGUAGCCCGAUUAGCCGAAUGCCACACUGGACAAAAGGCGGGUUACAACCAACACGC
rnacentral:RNase_P_RNA from 1 species